GAAAUCUGGCGGUCUCAGGCCGUCCGAGUUGUAAUCUAGAGAGGUGUUUUCCGUGCCGGACCGUGUACAAGUCCCUUGGAACAGGGCGUCAUAGAGGGUGAGAAUCCCGUCCAUGACACGGACUACCGGUGCUCUGUGAUACACCUUCAAAGAGUCGAGUUGUUUGGGAAUGCAGCUCAAAACGGGUGGUAAAUUCCAUCUAAAGCUAAAUACAGGCGAGAGACCGAUAGCGAACAAGUACCGUGAGGGAAAGAUGAAAAGAACUUUGGAAAGAGAGUUAAACAGUACGUGAAAUUGUUGAAAGGGAAACGCUUGAAGUCAGUCGCGUCCGUAGGGACUCAGCCUUGCUUUUGCUUGGUGCACUUCUCUGCGGACGGGCCAGCAUCGAUUUUGGUCGCCGGAAAAGGGCGGGAGGAAUGUGGCAGCUUUUAGCUGUGUUAUAGCCUUUCGUCGUACACGGUGGCUGGGAUCGAGGACUGCAGCACGCCUUUGGUCGGGGUUCGCCCACGCCACGUGCUUAGGAUGCUGGCGUAAUGGCUUUAAACGACCCGUCUUGAAACACGGACCAAGGAGUCUAACAUGCCUGCGAGUGUUUGGGUGCAAAACCCAGGCGCGUAAUGAAAGUGAAAAGUUGGGACUCUUUAGUGAGGCACCGACGCCCGAACCUGAAGUCUUCUGACGGUUUUGAGGCAGAGCAUGUAUGUUGGGACCCGAAAGAUGGUGAACUAUGCCUGAAUAGGGUGAAGCCAGAGGAAACUCUGGUGGAGGCUCGUAGCGAUUCUGACGUGCAAAUCGAUCGUCAAAUUUGGGUAUAGGGGCGAAAGACUAAUCGAACCAUCUAGUAGCUGGUUCCUGCCGAAGUUUCCCUCAGAUAGCAGAAACUCACAUCAGUUUUAUGUGGUAAAGCGAUGAUUAGAGGCCUUGGGGUUGAACAACCUUAACCUAUUCUCAACUUUAAUAUGUAAGAUCGGACCGUCACUUGAUUGGACCGUCUGGCGAAUGAGAGUUUCUAGUGGGCCAUUUUUGGUAAGCAGAACUGGCGAUGCGGGAUGAACCGAU
rnacentral:rRNA from 1 species